UACGUAGGGUGCAAGCGUUGUCCGGAAUUAUUGGGCGUAAAGAGCUCGUAGGCGGCUUGUCGCGUCGGCUGUGAAAACCUGGGGCUCAACCCCGGGCCUGCAGCCGAUACGGGCAAGCUAGAAUUCGGUAGGGGAGACUGGAAUUCCUGGUGUAGCGGUGAAAUGCGCAGAUAUCAGGAGGAACACCGGUGGCGAAGGCGGGCCUCUGGGCCGAAAUUGACGCUGAGGAGCGAAAGCGUGGGGAGCGAACAGG
rnacentral:rRNA from 1 species